CUCUAGGGAAGAGAAGGUUGG
rnacentral:miRNA from 1 species